GAUGAACGCUAGCGGCAGGCCUAACACAUGCAAGUCGAGGGGUAUAGUUCUUCGGAACUAGAGACCGGCGCACGGGUGCGUAACGCGUAUGCAAUCUACCUUUUACAGGGGAAUAGCCCAGAGAAAUUUGGAUUAAUGCCCCAUAGUGUUAUAGGAUCGCAUGGUUUUAUAACUAAAGUUCCAACGGUAAAAGAUGAGCAUGCGUCCCAUUAGUUAGUUGGUAAGGUAACGGCUUACCAAGACAAUGAUGGGUAGGGUCGUCGAGAGGGAGGAUCCCCACCACUGGUACGUGAGACACGGACCGACGACUCCUACCGGGAGGGCGAGCAGUGAGGGAA
rnacentral:rRNA from 1 species